UGGGCUAUCGCCAAGUGGUAAGGCACAGGAUUCUGACUCCUGCAUCCGCUGGGUCGAAUCAAGCUAGCCCAG
rnacentral:tRNA from 1 species